AAACCGUGGGAAACUACGGCUAAUACCGCAUGAUCCUGAGGGGCAAAGGCGAAAGUCGCCUGAGACGGAGCCUGCGUCUGAUUAGGUAGUUGGUCGGGGUAAAGGCCUACCCAAGGCGACGAUCAGUAGCUGGUCUGAGAGGAUGAUCAGCCACAUUGGGACUGAGACACGGCCCAAACUCCUACGGGAGGCAGCAGUGGGGAAUAUUGGACAAUGGGCGAAAGCCUGAUCCAGCAAUGCCGCGUGGGUGAAGAAGGUCUUCGGAUUGUAAAGCCCUUUUGGCGGGGACGAUGAUGACGGUACCCGCAGAAUAAGCUCCGGCUAACUUCGUG
rnacentral:rRNA from 1 species